GAACGCGAAGAACCUUACCCGGGCUUGAACUAAGAGUGACAGAUUUAGAGAUAGAUCUUUCUUCGGACACUCUUGGAGGUGCUGCAUGGUUGUCGUCAGCUCGUGCCGUGAGGUGUCGGCUUAAGUGCCAUAACGAGCGCAACCCUUUUCCUUGGUUGCCAUCAGGUAAUGCUGGGCACUCCAGGGAUACUGCCAUCGUAAGAUGUGAGGAAGGUGGGGAUGACGUCAAAUCAGCACGGCCCUUACGUCCGGGGCUACACACGUGUUACAAUGGGGGGUACAGAAGGUCGCUACCUGGUGACAGGAUGCUAAUCUCAAAAACCUCUCUCAGUUCGGAUUGGAGUCUGCAACCCGACUCCAUGAAGCUGGAUUCGCUAGUAAUCGCGCAUCAGCCAUGGCGCGGUGAAUACGUUCCCGGGUCUUGUACACACC
rnacentral:rRNA from 1 species